rnacentral:rRNA from 1 species
AUUGAACGCUGGCGGCAGGCCUAACACAUGCAAGUCGAACGAGUGGCGGACGGGUGAGUAACACGUGGGAACCUGCCCAUCAGAAGGGGAUAACACUUGGAAACCGGUGCUAAUACCGUAUAGUGAUGGAUGGACCCGCGGGGCAUUAGCUAGUUGGUGAGGUAACGGCUCACAAAGGCGACGAUGCAUAGCCGAACUGAGAGGGUGAGCGGCCACAUUGGGACUGAGACACGGCCCAAACUCCUACGGGAGGCAGCAGUGGGGAAUAUUGGACAAUGGGCGAAAGCCUGAUCCAGCCAUGCCGCGUGUGUGAAGAAGGUCUUCGGAUUGUAAAGCACUGUAAGUUGGGAGGCGUUACCAACAGAAUAAGCACCGGCUAACUUCGUGCCAGCAGCCGCGGUAAUAC